rnacentral:rRNA from 1 species
AGUGAACGCUGGCGGUAGGCCUAACACAUGCAAGUCGAACGGCAGCACAGUAAGAGCUUGCUCUUACGGGUGGCGAGUGGCGGACGGGUGAGGAAUACAUCGGAAUCUACUUUUUCGUGGGGGAUAACGUAGGGAAACUUACACUAAUACCGCAUACGACCUACGGGUGGAAGCAGGGGAUCUUCGGACCUUGCGCGAUUGAAUGAGCCGAUGUCGGAUUAGCUAGUUGGCGGGGUAAAGGCCCACCAAGGCGACGAUCCGUAGCUGGUCUGAGAGGAUGAUCAGCCACACUGGAACUGAGACACGGUCCAGACUCCUACGGGAGGCAGCAGUGGGGAAUAUUGGACAAUGGGCGCAAGCCUGAUCCAGCCAUACCGCGUGGGUGAAGAAGGCCUUCGGGUUGUAAAGCCCUUUUGUUGGGAAAGAAAAGCAGCAGGUUAAUACCCCGCUGUUCUGACGGUACCCAAAGAAUAAGCACCGGCUAACUUCGUG